AGUGGAGUCCAGGCUACCUAUGGGGACAUGGGCUAUAAAUGCUGACGUCAUUUGGGGAACAAAAUAUGCAACAGGAAGGUCACAUGACUUGUCAAUAGCACAUGGCUUAUAAACAACAGAACCACAGUCCCCUACCUCAAUCUAGGACUCAUUUUUUAAGGGUCUACUGUAAUAUUUCAUAACCCCCUGAAGGUUUCCUACCUGAGCAACUGGUAAUUCAGAUAUGAGAAGGCAAAGGUGAGUCCCAUCCUAACAUUACAUCUUCCAAGUGGCAUUUUCCAAAGAUUUCCUCCCAUGUCAACUGCACUUUGAAGAAUGCUUACUGGCUGCUUGAUUUGCAGGUAUUCAUCAGCAGAGACCAGACUCCUCCAUCAAGACUCGGCUGAUCCCACCCCACCUGAUUCACCUGGCUUCGUUCUUCCAUAUCCCCUGCCACACCCCACCCUCCCGCUGCUCGGCCAUCCCUGAUCAGGCCAGGCUCGUUUACCCCUCACGGCCAGGCUAAGGAUAUUCCAGCCCAGAAUAUCCUCCAUCUCUCCAGGCCACCUUUCCAGAAAGCUUCGGGGGAAAGAGUGGGCAAAGUGUUCUGGACAGAGAGAGAGAAGUCCUGGGCCCGACCUGCCUUCAUCCCUCUUCUCAGGCUGCCCUGUAACUCUGGGGAGGUGGGUGAGUGCCCUCCCCAUGAAGCUGGAGCCACUCUGGACCAGACUGCUGUCUGAUUCUCUUCUGCAGUGUCCUAGGAACCAGCAAGGUGCCUGGCACACAGUAGGUGCACAAUCAAUUUUUGAGAAAUAUAUGCAUCAAUGCCGUUUACUAACAAUGACUUUGGAAAAUCACUUUUUCUCUUCAAACUUCAAUACUCUCAACUGAAAAGCACUGAGCAUAAUCCCUACCCUUUAAAGCUAUUGCAUACAAUAAGUACAUACAAAAUCACUUUGUCUGGCCAGGCACAGUGGCUCAUGCCUGUAAUCCCAGGACUUUGGGAGGCCGAGGCGGGCAGAUCACUUGAGGCCAGGAGUUUGAGAACAGCCUGGCAACAUGGUGAAACCUCCUGUACAAACAUUACAAAAAUUAGCUAGGCGUGGUGGCACACACCUGUAGUCCCAGCUACUUGGAAGCCUGAGGUGAGAGGAUUGCUUGAGCCCAGGAGGUCAAGGCUGCAGUGAGCCAACAUUGCACCACUGCACUCCACCCUGGGUGACAGAGCAAGACUCUGUCUCAAAAAAACAAAAAACAAACAAACAAACCAUCACUUUGUCCAUUUUAAAGAUAUUCCAAGAAUAUAAUAAUUUAUUACUGUCGUUACAGAGGAUAGACAUUUAUGAUUUCCAUUUCAGAUUUCUGGACAAAGAAUAUGCCUUUUAGCUUCAAAUACUAAAAAUGCAGUAUGCGUGCUGGAGCAUUUAGGAGAAGGUAUACUCAUGGCUGCCAUUUCCUUUGAACUUUAUCAAAAAUGAAAGAUAAUUAACAGAUGGAUAGACAGAUAGGUAGAAAGAUAGGUCAUAAAGCAGGAAGAGUAAACCAUUAGUGGUACAGGUUGAGCUUCCCUUAUCUGAAAAUCUAAAAUCCAAAUGCUCCAAAAUCUAAAACUUUUUGAGCACCGACAUGAUGCCACAAGUGGAAAAUGCCACACCUCACUUCAUGUGAUGGGUGGCAGUCAAAACUUUGCUAAUGCACAAAAUUAUUUAAAAUAUUGUAGAAAAUUACCUUUAGGCUGUGUGUAUACGGCAUGUAUGAAACAUAAAUGAAUUUCACGUUUAGACUUGGGUCCCAUCCCUAAGAUACCUCAUUAUAUAUAUCCACAUAUUCCAAAGUCUGAAAAAAAAAUCCCAAAUCCAAGACAAUUCUAAUCUUAAGCAUUUCAGACAAGAGAGACUCAACCUGUAUAAUCUGAGUAGUGGGUAUAUAGGUAUACACUGUAAAAUUCUUUCAACUUUGCUAUAUGUUUGAAAUUUUUGUAAUAAAAUACCAGGGAAAGAAACUUAAAAGGAAAAAUAAACUUCUGCCAAAUCAGA